GGAUGUGAAGGCAAUCUGGCUGCAGCACUGGUUACUGUGUUGGUCUCAGGGUUGGUUCAGUUGGCCCAGUUGGUUAGGUAGGUGUCCCUUUCCUCUCUCCAUACACUUUUCUCCUGAAGCUCAGCACAAGAGGAUGGCCUAAUACAAGGACUGGUCUCUGGUCAAAAGCAUAUAUAGCUACGCUCCCCUGAUAGAACCUCCAAACAAGCCUCAAAUGUAUCCAAUCCAUUUUUCUCCUGGUUCGUCAUUUACCAAACCCACAUAAGUGUGUCUGU
rnacentral:snRNA from 1 species